rnacentral:snoRNA from 1 species
CCCCCCUCUGAGUCACACCUGGAGAGUUUCCAGUACUCUACCAGUCUCAAAUACAGGAGGAAGAGUCAAGCAGAGAGAUAUCCAUUCCAUUCCUAGUUUGGGCAGUGGCUAGUGAGUGGAAGGCAAUCUGUCACAAGU